GACGAACGCUGGCGGCGUGCUUAACACAUGCAAGUCGAACGGAAAGGCCCUGCUUUUGUGGGGUGCUCGAGUGGCGAACGGGUGAGUAACACGUGAGUAACCUGCCCUUGACUUUGGGAUAACUUCAGGAAACUGGGGCUAAUACCGGAUAGGAGCUCCUGCUGCAUGGUGGGGGUUGGAAAGUUUCGGCGGUUGGGGAUGGACUCGCGGCUUAUCAGCUUGUUGGUGGGGUAGUGGCUUACCAAGGCUUUGACGGGUAGCCGGCCUGAGAGGGUGACCGGCCACAUUGGGACUGAGAUACGGCCCAGACUCCUACGGGAGGCAGCAGUGGGGAAUAUUGCACAAUGGGCGGAAGCCUGAUGAAGCAACGCCGCGUGCGGGAUGACGGCCUUCGGGUUGUAAACCGAUUUCGCCUGUGACGAAGCGUGAGUGACGGUAAUGGGUAAAGAAGCACCGGCUAACUACGUG
rnacentral:rRNA from 1 species